rnacentral:rRNA from 1 species
AAUAGAUACCCGGGUAGUCCAUGCCGUAAACGUUGGGCGCUAGGUGUGGGGCUCAUUCCACGAGUUCUGUGCCGCAGCUAACGCAUUAAGCGCCCCGCCUGGGGAGUACGGCCGCAAGGCUAAAACUCAAAGGAAUUGACGGGGGCCCGCACAAGCGGCGGAGCAUGCGGAUUAAUUCGAUGCAACGCGAAGAACCUUACCAAGGCUUGACAUACACCGGAAAAGUGCAGAGAUGUGCUCCCCGUAAGGUCGGUGUACAGGUGGUGCAUGGUUGUCGUCAGCUCGUGUCGUGAGAUGUUGGGUUAAGUCCCGCAACGAGCGCAACCCUCGUUCCAUGUUGCCAGUACGUGAUGGUGGGGACUCAUGGGAGACUGCCGGGGUCAACUCGGAGGAAGGUGGGGAUGACGUCAAAUCAUCAUGCCCCUUAUGUCUUGGGCUUCACGCAUGCUACAAUGGUCGGUACAGAGUGCUGCGAAACCGUGAGGUGGAGCGAAUCACUUAAAGCCGGUCUCAGUUCGGAUUGU